rnacentral:rRNA from 1 species
GUUGACCUCGGAUCAGGUAGGGAUACCCGCUGAACUUAAGCAUAUAAU